CUUCUUCAAUUUGCUGCGGACAUAUAUAAUGGAUGUGGCUGUCAAAGCCGCCGGCAGUGAUGAUCUUGCCUUCUCCGGCAAUAAUCUCCGUGCCGGGACCAAUGAUUAUGUCGACACCGGACUGGGUAUCAGGAUUGCCCGCCUUGCCGAUGGCGAAAAUUCGUCCGUCUUUCAAGCCGAUAUCAGCUUUGUAGAUGCCGGUAUGAUCAAGAAUCAGCGCGUUGGUGAUAACCGUAUCAACGGCCCCUUCUGCGCGCGUUACCUGACUUUGUCCCAUACCAUCACG
rnacentral:sRNA from 1 species